UCCGUGCCGAGGCCCCUAGUGACCUCGGUGCGAGCACUGACGAAACCCGAAGGCGAAAAGAAAUUGAAAACGAGUCCAGCACUCGUCGAGGGAAGAUGGCGACGGAUCCGGGCCCCUUCUUAUGGGAGGGGCUGAACGCGAGUGAGCGGAUCGGCCCGCAUUCCCGGGGUGCCUCAACCGCCGGCCUUCCUUUGCGGGGAGGUCGACGAGAGGUGCGCCCAGAGCACACACGCUAGGACCCGAAAGAUGGUGAACUAUGCCUGGCCAGGACGAAGUCAGGGGAAACCCUGAUGGAGGUCCGAAACGAUUCUGACGUGCAAAUCGAUCGUCUGAGCUGGGUAUAGGGGCGAAAGACUAAUCGAACUAUCUAGUAGCUGGUUCCCUCCGAAGUUUCCCUCAGGAUAGCUGGCGCUCGGAGGUGAGAGAAGACGAACGCAAUGAGUCUCUUCCGGUAAAGCGAAUGAUUAGAGGCCUUGGGGCCGAAACGACCUCAACCUAUUCUCAAACUUUAAAUGGGUGAGAACCCCGGCUUGCUCGAGAUGUU
rnacentral:rRNA from 1 species